ACGGGUGAGUAAUGUCUGGGGAUCUGCCCGAUAGAGGGGGAUAACCACUGGAAACGGUGGCUAAUACCGCAUAACGUCGCAAGACCAAAGAGGGGGACCUUCGGGCCUCUCACUAUCGGAUGAACCCAGAUGGGAUUAGCUAGUAGGCGGGGUAAUGGCCCACCUAGGCGACGAUCCCUAGCUGGUCUGAGAGGAUGACCAGCCACACUGGAACUGAGACACGGUCCAGACUCCUACGGGAGGCAGCAGUGGGGAAUAUUGCACAAUGGGCGCAAGCCUGAUGCAGCCAUGCCGCGUGUAUGAAGAAGGCCUUCGGGUUGUAAAGUACUUUCAGCGGGGAGGAAGGCGGUGCGGUUAAUAACCGCGCCGAUUGACGUUACCCGCAGAAGAAGCACCGGCUAACUCCGUGCCAGCAGCCGCGGUAAUACGGAGGGUGCAAGCGUUAAUCGGAAUUACUGGGCGUAAAGCGCACGCAGGCGGUCUGUUAAGUCAGAUGUGAAAUCCCCGGGCUUAACCUGGGAACUGCAUUUGAAACUGGCAGGCUUGAGUCUUGUAGAGGGGGGUAGAAUUCCAGGUGUAGC
rnacentral:rRNA from 1 species